rnacentral:rRNA from 1 species
CAGUCGAGCGAAUCGAUGGGAGCUUGCUCCCUGAGAUUAGCGGCGGACGGGUGAGUAACACGUGGGCAACCUGCCUAUAAGACUGGGAUAACUUCGGGAAACCGGAGCUAAUACCGGAUACGUUCUUUUCUCGCAUGAGAGAAGAUGGAAAGACGGUUUACGCUGUCACUUAUAGAUGGGCCCGCGGCGCAUUAGCUAGUUGGUGAGGUAAUGGCUCACCAAGGCGACGAUGCGUAGCCGACCUGAGAGGGUGAUCGGCCACACUGGGACUGAGACACGGCCCAGACUCCUACGGGAGGCAGCAGUAGGGAAUCUUCCGCAAUGGACGAAAGUCUGACGGAGCAACGCCGCGUGAACGAAGAAGGCCUUCGGGUCGUAAAGUUCUGUUGUUAGGGAAGAACAAGUACCAGAGUAACUGCUGGUACCUUGACGGUACCUAACCAGAAAGCCACGGCUAACUACGUGCCAGCAGCCGCGGUAAUACGUAGGUGGCAAGCGUUGUCCGGAAUUAUUGGGCGUAAAGCGCGCGCAGGUGGUUCCUUAAGUCUGAUGUGAAAGCCCACGGCUCAACCGUGGAGGGUCAUUGGAAACUGGGGAACUUGAGUGCAGAAGAGGAAAGUGGAAUUCCAAGUGUAGCGGUGAAAUGCGUAGAGAUUUGGAGGAACACCAGUGGCGAAGGCGACUUUCUGGUCUGUAACUGACACUGAGG